GACGAACGCUGGCGGCGUGCCUAAUACAUGCAAGUAGAACGCUGAAGGAGGAGCUUGCUUCUCUGGAUGAGUUGCGAACGGGUGAGUAACGCGUAGGUAACCUGCCUGGUAGCGGGGGAUAACUAUUGGAAACGAUAGCUAAUACCGCAUAAUAGCAGUUAUUGCAUGAUAACUGUUUGAAAGGUGCAAUUGCACCACUACCAGAUGGACCUGCGUUGUAUUAGCUAGUUGGUGGGGUAACGGCUCACCAAGGCGACGAUACAUAGCCGACCUGAGAGGGUGAUCGGCCACACUGGGACUGAGACACGGCCCAGACUCCUACGGGAGGCAGCAGUAGGGAAUCUUCGGCAAUGGACGGAAGUCUGACCGAGCAACGCCGCGUGAGUGAAGAAGGUUUUCGGACCGUAAAGCUCUGUUGUAAGAGAAGAACGAGUGUGAGAGUGGAAAGUUCACACUGUGACGGUAUCUUACCAGAAAGGGACGGCUAACUACG
rnacentral:rRNA from 1 species